GGAAACUGCAAACUAAAACUACACUGAGAUUUCAUCUCCUGUCAGAAUGGCAAUUAUGAAGAAUACAAUUAACAAAUAUUGGUGAGGAGGUGGGGAUACAUUGCUGGUAGGACUGAAAAUUGGUGCAACCACUCGGAAAAAAAGUGUGGAGAGUCCUCAGAAAACUAGGAAUGGAACCACCUUUUGAUCGAAUUAUUGCAUUCCUCCAUAUAUAUCCAAAAGAUUUAAAGUCAGCACACUGUAGUGACCAGCCACAUCAGUGUUUAUAGCAGCACAAUUCACAAUAGCUAUGCUAUGGAGUCAAUCUGGGUGCCACUCAACAGAUGAAUGGAUAAAGAAAAUGUGGUGUAUAUACACAAGCCAUAGACAAUGACUUUAUGGCAUUUGCCAGUCAGUGGAUGGAAUUGGAGACUACCAGACUAAGUGAAAUAAGCCAGCUCCAAAAAGUUAAAGGUCUAAUGUUUUCUGAUAUGAAGAAGCUAAUCCAAAAUAAAAGUAGGAUAAAAAAAAGAAGAAGAAGAAAGAUCAGAGGAUUAGAUAAAGGAGAAUGAAGGGAAGGGAGGAGGGAUGAGAAUAGGGAAAGACAGUGAAAUGAAUCUGACAUAACUUUCCUAUGUACAUAAAUGGAUAUGCCUUAGUGAAUCUGACCAUCAUGUACAUCCAAAAGAUACUAAUUUUAAAAAAAAAAUCAAUAGCGUAGAGGGAAGGGAACAGUGGGAGGGAAGAAGGGAAGAUAAGAGGAAAUAUCAGGGACUGAAUUAGAACAAUUGUAUUUCAUGUUUUUAUAAUUGUGUCAUGGUAUAUUCCAUCGUCAUGUAUAACUAAAAGGACUAAUAAGAAAAGAUGAAAUGGAAACUUACUCUUCAUUAUGUACAAUUUUAUGUAGUUCUUUACCCUAUCUAAAU
rnacentral:lncRNA from 1 species